rnacentral:SRP_RNA from 1 species
CCGUGCUAGGCGGGGAGGUAGCGGUGCCCUGUACCCGCAAUCCGCUCUAGCGGGGCUGAACUCCUCUCCGAGGGGCUCCGCUCCGGUCGCUUCGUCGCUCGCGGCGUCGAUGGCACGGGUCCCGCGCGGUGUCGGCUCGUGAAUCAGGUCAGGUCCGGAAGGAAGCAGCCUUAAGCGAUGCCCGAUAGGCGCAGCGGGAGCUCCCGGCCGGAGUCGCGAGCGGCGAUCAGGCGCCCGUGGCGGGAGGCUCGACGAGGGGUGCACGG